ensembl:lincRNA Gm26649 predicted gene, 26649
CAUUCUACUGUUUAUUACACAUAUUACAUUCUUAAAUAAAAAUGCGUCACAUAACAUUUUUGCAUAGAUAUCUUACAAUAUACCAAUUUAAAAAAGAAUUAUGAAACAGACCAGUAACAAAAAUAAAUUUUUUCUUCAUUAAUAAUUUUGUAACAUUAACAUACCACCAUCAUAUAAUACAAAUAAUAGUUUUAAAUCUUAAGACUUUUGUACAGCAAAAAAACUUGACAAAGUAAUAUAUUUAUAUAUAUAUAUAAAAAGCUUAAAAAAAAUAAAAUGUCAAAAAAAGGCAUAACCGAGGGCUAUAAGACUGGGUACUUCUGUGAUAUAUUAUAAAUACCAGAGAAGGCCUGAGAGAAUGUGACAGGGAGGUGGGGGGAGGGGAGGCUCCAAAAACAUUAAACAUUUAGUUUGCCUUUGUGUUAGCAAGGAGAUCUUGGCCCUAACAGGUGUAUUUUUCCUCCCUGGGAUGAAGCAGAAGUGAGAUGGAAGAAAUCAAAUUGUCUGAGCUUGAGUGAGCAAAUGCAUGCUGGGAAGCAAAAAGGAAACAAAAAAGGCUAAUGAGCCCCCAAAUCUUUAGGACCUCGGUUUACAGAAAUUAUUCUGCCUCUGGUCCCAAGGGCUAGGAUUGAAAUGUCCCCUCUCCCCACCCACUGCCCCUCCCCUGUAUGUGGAACUAACUCCCAGUGGUGUGGUUUUUAUAUACUGGCAUUAUAAGCAUCCAUCCCCCCAAAAGAGAUUAGGCACUGGUGGCUACCCCUCUUAUACCUCAGUAGCCUGUUUUCCUUCUGCGAAGGUACAGUAGGUAUGUAUGCACACCCAUGCAGGUGUGUGCACACACACCACCCUCAUUAUUCUGACGUGGGGUCCUUUGUAUGGCAGUAGACAGAAGCUGGGGUCAAAGCAAUUACGAUUCCAAAACUCACAGUUGAAAAAAAUCGUAUAAACGGUCCCCAACCAAGAACACAUCAACCUUCCCUCAUGACCACAGAGAGGGAGCCCUAUUUGAAAAAGAGUAUCUUGUUUGGGAUAUUUGCUAAGUGACGACUUUGAUCUCACUCCUGUUGUGGAUACCUGUUUCCCGAGGACUUACUGGAAAAUGCAGAACACCUGAAGAAUACAGUACUAUAUUGAAAGAUGCUCAUAAGAAAGUUAAUUGCAGCUUAGCUAUCCCCUUUCUGGGAUCUGUUAGAGGAACCAAGAGAGGAGAUUUAAGUGUUAAAAACAAGAAACCCUGAAGCUCAGGCAUUAGUCAUGAGACACCACAUUUCAUAGGAGCAGAUUUUGCUUCCUUUGACAUAUUUCUGUUGUCCAUCUCAAGUGCUCCCAAAGAUCCUCAAAGAGAAACACAUGCCAUCAGGAAGGCAGCAAUGGACACUCAGGCUGGGCCCUCCGGUUGCAAAUUAAGCAUCACCAUGUUUCCCGAAAUGCAACCCAGACACUCAGAACCAGGUAUCCUCCUGCCCCAACUUCUGCCACUUCUAAAAUAAAAUUGAGGAAAAGUUUUCAUGAAUUUAUUUCAGCCAAGUCUUUCUUAAGUUCCACCUGGGCAAUAUUCUAGGUGCAAGAUUUCAGCCGGAUGUGAGGUCUUUUGUUUGUUUGUUUGUUUAAAGGGAGAGAAGGCAGACAGAUUUCUGGAGUCAAAUGGGUUGUUCAUGCUCCCUUCCUCUUUCCUUCUGAAGUAACACACGCAGAAGAGGAGAUAUAAGUAGUCCCCACAUUUACAUUAUGAACUGAUUCCCACAGAGGAAAUCACUCAGAACCGUGAAAAUUAAUCACACUGAGGUUUGCAUUGGCAAACCAUUUCUUUGGGCUUUCCCAUGGGAUGCAGGAGUGGAGGCUGCAGGCAGGACAGUUCUGAAUGCUUGAGUUAGCCAACCCUCCCCCUCCCCCAUUUGUUUUCCCUUGGAUGCAAAUAGACACAGAUCAUUUGGAAGCAUAUCCCAAAUUCAAGUCCCUAAAUACACUCUUCUCUAAUUUCAAAGAAGAUUUAAAAAUAAAAAAUAAAUUAAAAAAAAUUCCUAGGAAUCCAUCCUGCUCAUCAGACAUGAGGUUGGCUCUCUUUUUACCCUGUUAUCAUCAGGCGAUCAAAGAUGGAAAAGGGUAGAGGUGUGCAUGGGGAGGUGGCAGCAGGGAGAGUGGGGAGUGGUUGAAGGGCUUUGGGAAGGAAACUGGGACAGGGAAAUGGCCAGCAUGAAGGUCAUUGGGGGGGGGUCUCCAAUAUUUUUACAAAAAUGCAGCUUUAACUUGGAAUCCAAACAUCUCUUUCUUUCUGGACAAAGUACUCAUCCACAUAGGCAUGAGGUUGGGCCAGUAAGCUGACAGUGGGACAGGAGGCCAGGAGCAAAGAGCAGCAUUACAAUGUCGGUCCCCACAUCCCUGAAGGUCACGUGGAGGAGAAAGAGAAGUAACUUGAAGUAAAGAAAAUCACCAGUGGCUUAGAACCAUGUCUUCUACAUAGCCAUCUCUGGGCCCUGGAUAGAAUGCUCAAGAGGACAGCCUAUGCCACAUUUAUGCCAGGCUUGCCCUUUCAAAUCUGGGAUCCCCUUGGAAUGCUAGGAGGUAAUGUCUUAAAUUGUGAAAGGGAUUUCAUGUUUCAAAUAUCCAUGACACCAUUCUAGACACCCAGUCCUCUUGGGAGCAAAGGACACGUUGAGGUUAUUUCUUGAAAAACCUGCUCCCUCCAGAGGCAUCAAGCAACUGCCUCUGCAGUUGAGGAAGAAUGGAGGAGGACGUGUCAUAAACCUAUUUCUAAAAUGUCCAAGGGAUACCCACCCCAAGCUAAGGACUCGCAAUCUUCCACAGGUCUUCACUGGGGUUAGAGAAGAACAGAUUCAAAGCCAUGCGCUUAGCACCCACCAAAUUCUCAGGCCAAUUCCCACAGCCAACAAAGGACUCUGAAGCAAGCAAGCACCAUCAUGGUAUCUCAGUGCGCCCUGCUCCAAGAGAGAUCAGGAGCAGAUCACAAAGACCUCACUGAUACAAAAGAGAAAUUACCAAACAUUUCAGACACCAAAGAGGACCAAGGGGCCUUUGUUCUGCCACAUUCAAAUGAAACCACAGAUGGCGAGAGGGACAAACAGCAAUGAUUACUCUUUUGCAUUUCUUUCUUUUCUUUUUUUUUUUUUUUCCUUUUUCUUUUUUUAUAGAGCCUUGCAUUGGUCAGUACAAAAAAAAAUUAAAUUAAGUACUAUAAA